rnacentral:lncRNA from 1 species
GUCUUAAAACGCUAAACCUAAAGCAAAUAUGAAUAUUUUAAUACAAAAUCAUGCAUCAACCAUUGCAAUUUCAAUUUUAACAUAUUGUACUGGCUCAGAGCAGUUAGUCCUGCCCUGAGCUGCUAAGGCUUAAGGGUAAAACAACCGUUCUUGUGUUUGUAGUCUUAUAGUUAGGAUUCAAAAAAUUGUAUAACUUUGAUGAAAUUAAUUUAGCAUCUUGUUCAUUUAUGGUUGUAUUGUGUUCUUUUGGUUUUGUUGUUUUUUGUGUGGCACACCGUAAGUGAAGGGAUUGUGUGUAGGAGUGACCAUCAAUGAGCAGUGAUUUGUUGGGUGAGUGUGUAAUGGAAAGAACUUGCCUUUGUGCUAUUUUUUAUCCAACACACUCGUCAUGUGCUGAUUAAGUGCAAUACUGAACAUACUUAAACAAACAACUACUCUCUUGCGCUCUGUCGUACAUCAAGUCUAAACAUCUGAUGUUCCAUUUGACUGACUAAUAAUUUAUAAUAUAUGUUUGUCUUUUACACCUGGACUCUGGCUCCAUUCUAUCUGACUCCCCACCAGACCCAAGGCUGUAAAAGCGAAUGCAUCUUGUCUUGGAAGCUCGGUGCUCCUUCCUAUCUGACUCCCCACCAGACCCAAGGCUGUUAAAGCGAAUGCAUCUUGUCUUGGAAGCUCGGUGUUCCUUCCUUUGGAUAACAAGACAUGACGAUGCAGAAGUGAGAAAGCAAACAUUCUCACUCGCAGCGAGAUAAGGUGGCGCAAACAAUUCCAUUGCUGCAGAGAGACAUUCCACCAGAGCCAGAGAAAGGGGUUAAAAGGCAGAAGCAACUUGAGGAUCGUGGGCUCUUUGCAUCACACCUUCGUGAUGUGUGCACUGAUCUCCCCAGCUGGUUUUUGGUUUGUUGAUGUGCACAAUCAACAUCCAUGCUUUUUAUUUGCUUUUCCCAUAAUUUUUUUUUCUUUAUUAUUUCAAUAAAUCGCACAAAAGGACAACUCUCUCA